rnacentral:rRNA from 1 species
UGUGGAGCCGUAGCGAAAGCGAGUCUGAAUAGGGCGUUUAGUAUUUGGUCGUAGACCCGAAACCAGGUGAUCUACCCUUGGUCAGGUUGAAGUUCAGGUAACACUGAAUGGAGGACCGAACCGACUUACGUUGAAAAGUGAGCGGAUGAACUGAGGGUAGCGGAGAAAUUCCAAUCGAACCUGGAGAUAGCUGGUUCUCUCCGAAAUAGCUUUAGGGCUAGCCUCAAGUGAUGAUUAUUGGAGGUAGAGCACUGUUUGGACGAGGGGCCCCUCUCGGGUUACCGAAUUCAGACAAACUCCGAAUGCCAAUUAAUUUAACUUGGGAGUCAGAACAUGGGUGAUAAGGUCCGUGUUCGAAAGGGAAACAGCCCAGACCACCAGCUAAGGUCCCAAAAUAUAUGUUAAGUGGAAAAGGAUGUGGCGUUGCCCAGACAACUAGGAUGUUGGCUUAGAAGCAGCCAUCAUUUAAAGAGUGCGUAAUAGCUCACUAGUCGAGUGACACUGCGCCGAAAAUGUACCGGGGCUAAACAUAUUACCGAAGCUGUGGAUUGUCCUUUGGACAAUGGUAGGAGAGCGUUCUAAGGGCGUUGAAGCAUGAUCGUAAGGACAUGUGGAGCGCUUAGAAGUGAGAAUGCCGGUGUGAGUAGCGAAAGACGGGUGAGAAUCCCGUCCACCGAUUGACUAAGGUUUCCAGAGGAAGGCUCGUCCGCUCUGGGUUAGUCGGGUCCUAAGCUGAGGCCGACAGGCGUAGGCGAUGGAUAACAGGUUGAUAUUCCUGUACCACCUAUAAUCGUUUUAAUCGAUGGGGGGACGCAGUAGGAUAGGCGAAGCGUGCGAUUGGAUUGCACGUCUAAGCAGUAAGGCUGAGUAUUAGGCAAAUCCGGUACUCGUUAAGGCUGAGCUGUGAUGGGGAGAAGACAUUGAGUCUUCGAGUCGUUGAUUUCACACUGCCGAGAAAAGCCUCUAGAUAGAAAAUAGGUGCCCGUACCGCAAACCGACACAGGUAGUCAAGAUGAGAAUUCUAAGGUGAGCGAGCGAACUCUCGUUAAGGAACUCGGCAAAAUGACCCCGUAACUUCGGGAGAAGGGGUGCUCUUUAGGGUUAACGCCCAGAAGAGCCGCAGUGAAUAGGCCCAAGCGACUGUUUAUCAAAAACACAGGUCUCUGCUAAACCGUAAGGUGAUGUAUAGGGGCUGACGCCUGCCCGGUGCUGGAAGGUUAAGAGGAGUGGUUAGCUUCUGCGAAGCUACGAAUCGAAGCCCCAGUAAACGGCGGCCGUAACUAUAACGGUCCUAAGGUAGCGAAAUUCCUUGUCGGGUAAGUUCCGACCCGCACGAAAGGCGUAACGAUUUGGGCACUGUCUCAACGAGAGACUCGGUGAAAUCAUAGUACCUGUGAAGAUGCAGGUUACCCGCGACAGGACGGAAAGACCCCGUGGAGCUUUACUGUAGCCUGAUAUUGAAAUUCGGCACAGCUUGUACAGGAUAGGUAGGAGCCUUUGAAACGUGAGCGCUAGCUUACGUGGAGGCGCUGGUGGGAUACUACCCUAGCUGUGUUGGCUUUCUAACCCGCACCACUUAUCGUGGUGGGAGACAGUGUCAGGCGGGCAGUUUGACUGGGGCGGUCGCCUCCUAAAAGGUAACGGAGGCGCUCAAAGGUUCCCUCAGAAUGGUUGGAAAUCAUUCAUAGAGUGUAAAGGCAUAAGGGAGCUUGACUGCGAGACCUACAAGUCGAGCAGGGUCGAAAGACGGACUUAGUGAUCCGGUGGUUCCGCAUGGAAGGGCCAUCGCUCAACGGAUAAAAGCUACCCCGGGGAUAACAGGCUUAUCUCCCCCAAGAGUUCACAUCGACGGGGAGGUUUGGCACCUCGAUGUCGGCUCAUCGCAUCCUGGGGCUGUAGUCGGUCCCAAGGGUUGGGCUGUUCGCCCAUUAAAGCGGUACGCGAGCUGGGUUCAGAACGUCGUGAGACAGUUCGGUCCCUAUCCGUCGUGGGCGUAGGAAAUUUGAGAGGAGCUGUCCUUAGUACGAGAGGACCGGGAUGGACAUACCUCUGGUGUACCAGUUGUCGUGCCAACGGCAUAGCUGGGUAGCUAUGUGUGGACGGGAUAAGUGCUGAAAGCAUCUAAGCAUGAAGCCCCCCUCAAGAUGAGAUUUCCCAACUUCGGUUAUAAGAUCCCUCAAAGAUGAUGAGGUUAAUAGGUUCGAGGUGGAAGCAUGGUGACAUGUGGAGCUGACGAAUACUAAUCGAUCGAAGACUUAAUCAA